rnacentral:rRNA from 1 species
UACGUAGGGGGCAAGCGUUGUCCGGAUUUAUUGGGCGUAAAGAGCGUGUAGGCGGCCGGGUAAGUCCGGUGUGAAAACUCGAGGCUUAACCUCGAGAUGUCAUCGGAAACUAUUCGGCUAGAGUCCGGAAGAGGAGAGUGGAAUUCCUGGUGUAGCGGUGAAAUGCGCAGAUAUCAGGAAGAACACCCGUGGCGAAAGCGGCUCUCUGGAACGGUACUGACGCUGAGACGCGAAAGCGUGGGGAGCGAACAGG